GGGGAUUUAGCUCAGUGGUAGAGCGCUUGCCUAGCAAGCAGAAGGCCUUGGGUUCGGUCCCCAGCUCCG
rfam:Rattus norvegicus chromosome 4, whole genome shotgun sequence.